rnacentral:lncRNA from 1 species
AUGAAGAGCUCUCUCUCUUCUUGUUCAACCUCUACUUUCGGCCUCCGGCGGCUUUCGGUCUUGGCCUUGGUGGUGGUCUUCCUCUCGCUUCUUCUCACAUCUGCCGCCACACCCGCGAUCUCUAGCCCAACCAAUAUUGUACCAAGAAACCCUAGCACUAACCAAGAAGACAAGUUACUACACUACAAGGUCCAGGAGGCAAACCACCAUCCUCUUCAUCCUCAGCCGUGCCAUCAUCAGAGCUCAGUUUCGGAAUCAUCGAGUGCCCAAUUACGUUCUUUGUGUCUUCAACUCCACCAACACAAAAUCUUCCACGCCUACCAAUCCAUCCCACCACCACCGCCGCCACCCGUCGCUCUAGAUCACCACGAUGAGAUUGACCCAAGAUACGGCGUCGAGAAGAGACUCGUCCCCUCCGGCCCCAACCCUCUUCACAAUU